rnacentral:rRNA from 1 species
GCCCUUAGAGUUUGAUCAUGGCUCAGGAUGAACGCUGGCGGCGUGCCUAAGGUAUGCAAGUCGAGCGUACCCAACUUCGGUUGGGAGCGGCAAACGGGUGAGUAACACGUGGAUUAUCUACCUCUAACACAGGGAUAGCUCGCCGAAAGGCGGAUUAAUACCUGAUAGUCCCUUCGGGGUAAAGCUCCGGCGGUUAGAGAUGAGUCCGCGGCCUAUCAGCUUGUUGGUAGGGUAACGGCCUACCAAGGCGAUUACGGGUAGCUGGUCUGAGAGGAUGGUCAGCCACACUGGGACUGUGACACGGCCCAGACUCCUACGGGAGGCAGCAAUCAGGAAUUUUGCGCAAUGGGGGAAACCCUGACGCAUCGACGCCGCGUGAAGGAUGAAGGCUUUCGGGUUGUAAACUUCUUUUCUACAGGACGAUAAUGACUUAACUGUAGGAAUAAAGCACCUGCUA